rnacentral:lncRNA from 1 species
UUCCUAAACAAAUAGCAGCAAGUGAGGAAUUACCUGCUGUGUGAUUAUUACAAGUCUUAGACUAGGAUGAGAUGGCUUGAGGUUUCCAUAUUAAAUUACAUGUUUUGAUUCCAAAGCUCUUACAAGUGACUUGGUCCACUUGAGCAAUUUGGUGCCAUCUGAAUUAAACAGUUUGUUUAAUCCCACUGAGAGACAAGGAGUAAGAGACAAGUUCAUGGAAGAACACUAGCAACAGCAAGCAAGACAUGGAGUUUUGCUAUUGAAGAAUAGGACUAGAAAUGAGCCUGAACAAAUCAGCAGUACCAGUGGAUGCAAAAAGAGAUGUUUUCUAUUCCCCCACAGCAGAACUGCUAAGCAUGCAAAGAGACCCUGCUGCCUGAAGUGAUCUCAGCACAGCUUGAACAAGCUCAAUCUCAGACUCUAAAAAGCUCCUUUGCUGGUUUUGGUAAAAGGCUAGGGCUGAAUUCUCAAAGCUGCUGUUUUACUCUGCUUCAUAUGGAAGAAAUGAAUAAAAGAAAGAUUGUGAAAAAGCCACGUGUGAAUGGGAAAACAGUUUGGAUUGGCAGCCCAGGUGCUGUGUGGCCCAAGACCACUCUCCGUGGUGCCAUCUGCAGGAGGAGGAAAAUUUCCUUGUUGGAACAUCUUGAGAAAAGGACAACUGGUAUGAAAAUCUCUUUUGGAAAAUCUCCCCGCCUGUGAUAUGAACAGUUUCAGAGGUAACGCAGCUGGGGAUAAUUAUACAUUUCUGUCACACACUCCUGAAUGCUCCCUGCUCCGUGGGAGGGUAGGAGGCACAAACGCAGGAGCUUGACCACUCUAGUAGAAUAUUAAAACCCAGGGGAAAACAGACGACUCCUCGUUUAGAGACCACAUUAUGGACUCUGACUGUUUUGUCCUUUGUGUUUCUUUAAAUAAAUACCAGAGAUCUACUCCUGACA